rnacentral:rRNA from 1 species
GACUACUGGGGUAUCUAAGCCUGUUUGCUCCCCACGCUUUCGCUCCUCAGCGUCAGUUACGGCCCAGAGAUCUGCCUUCGCCAUCGGUGUUCCUCCUGAUAUCUGCGCAUUCCACCGCUACACCAGGAAUUCCAAUCUCCCCUACCGCACUCUAGUCUGCCCGUACCCACUGCAGGCCCGAGGUUGAGCCUCGGGGUUUCACAGCAGACGCGACAAACCGCCUACGAGCUCUUUACGCCCAAUAAUUCCGGAUAACGCUUGCACCCUACGUAUUACCGCGGCUGCUGGCACGUAGUUAGCCGGUGCUUUUUCUGCAGGUACCGUCACUUUCGCUUCUUCCCUGCUAAAAGAGGUUUACAACCCGAAGGCCGUCGUCCCUCACGCGGCGUUGCUGCAUCAGGCUUGCGCCCAUUGUGCAAUAUUCCCCACUGCAGCCUCCCGUAGG